AUGAACGCUGGCGGCAGGCCUAACACAUGCAAGUCGAACGGUAACAGGAAGCAGCUUGCUGCUUCGCUGACGAGUGGCGGACGGGUGAGUAAUGUCUGGGAAACUGCCUGAUGGAGGGGGAUAACUACUGGAAACGGUAGCUAAUACCGCAUAACGUCGCAAGACCAAAGAGGGGGACCUUCGGGCCUCUUGCCAUCAGAUGUGCCCAGAUGGGAUUAGCUAGUUGGUGGGGUAACGGCUCACCAAGGCGACGAUCCCUAGCUGGUCUGAGAGGAUGACCAGCCACACUGGAACUGAGACACGGUCCAGACUCCUACGGGAGGCAGCAGUGGGGAAUAUUGCACAAUGGGCGCAAGCCUGAUGCAGCCAUGCCGCGUGUAUUGAAGAAGGCCUUCGGGUUGUAAAGUACUUUCAGCGGGGAGGAAGGUGUUGUGGUUAAUAACCGCAGCAAUUGACGUUACCCGCAGAAGAAGCACCGGCUAACUCCGUGCCAGCAGCAGC
rnacentral:rRNA from 1 species